rnacentral:rRNA from 1 species
UACAGAGGUCUCAAGCGUUGUUCGGAUUCAUUGGGCGUAAAGGGUGCGUAGGUGGCGCCAUAAGUUGGGUGUGAAAUCUCGGGGCUUAACUCCGAAACUGCAUUCGAUACUGUGGUGCUUGAGGACUGGAGAGGAGACUGGAAUUCAUGGUGUAGCAGUGAAAUGCGUAGAGAUCAUGAGGAAGACCAGUGGCGAAGGCGGGUCUCUGGACAGUUCCUGACACUGAGGCACGAAGGCCAGGGGAGCAAACGGG